GCAAUGGGAUCGAUUUAGCCAUGCUAGUUGCACGAGUUCACACUCGUAGCAUAUAGCUCAGUAACACGUGGUCAAGCUACCCUGCAGACACGGACAACCUCGGGAAACUGAGGCUAAUCCGCGAUACCGAUCCCACGCUGGAAUGCCGGGAUCCACAAACGCUCCGGCGCUGCAGGAUGCGGCUGCGGCCGAUUAGGUAGACGGUGGGGUAACGGCCCACCGUGCCGAUAAUCGGUACGGGUUGUGAGAGCAAGAGCCCGGAGACGGAAUCUGAGACAAGAUUCCGGGCCCUACGGGGCGCAGCAGGCGCGAAACCUUUACACUGCACGCAAGUGCGAUAAGGGGACUCCGAGUGCGAGGGCAUAUAGUCCUCGCUUUUGAGAACCGUAAGGCGGUUCUCGAAUAAGAGCUGGGCAAGACCGGUGCCAGCCGCCGCGGUAAUACCGGCAGCUCAAGUGAUGGCCAAUCUUAUUGGGCCUAAAGCGUCCGUAACUGGCCACGAAAGUCCGUCGGGAAAUCCAUCUGCCCAACAGAUGGGCGUCCGGCGGAAACUUCGUGGCUUGGGACCGGAAGGCUCGAGGGGUACGUCUGGGGUAGGAGUGAAAUCCCGUAAUCCUGGACGGACCGCCGAUGGCGAAAGCACCUCGAGAAGACGGAUCC
rnacentral:rRNA from 1 species